CUUACACGACCGUGUCACCCAUUUAAACCCUAAUCUCUUUUUAUUUUUACUUUGUCUUUUUCCACUAAUCCCUAACCCUAGCCACCGUUUCCACCUUCUUCCCCUAUUCUGGCCACCCCCAUCAUUCACACCCCAUAGCUGUCGCUGUCUCCCUUUCCCUUCUUUCCUCUGUCGCACCCGAACAACCCCACCUACCCACCCUUCCUUAACUGAGAACCACCAUCACAACCCUCCCCUCUCCCCUCCUUGG
rnacentral:lncRNA from 1 species